rnacentral:rRNA from 1 species
GGAUGAACGCUGGCGGCGUGCUUAACACAUGCAAGUCGAACGGAAAGGCUCCUGCUUGCAGGGGUACUCGAGUGGCGAACGGGUGAGUAACACGUGGGUGAUCUGCCCUGCACUUCGGGAUAAGCCUGGGAAACUGGGUCUAAUACCGGAUAGGACGAUGGUUUGGAUGCCAUUGUGGAAAGUUUUUUCGGUGUGGGAUGAGCUCGCGGCCUAUCAGCUUGUUGGUGGGGUAAUGGCCUACCAAGGCGUCGACGGGUAGCCGGCCCGAGAGGGUGUACGGCCACAUUGGGACUGAGAUACGGCCCAGACUCCUACGGGAGGCAGCAGUGGGGAAUAUUGCACAAUGGGCGCAAGCCUGAUGCAGCGACGCCGCGUGGGGGAUGACGGCCUUCGGGUUGUAAACUCCUUUCGCUAGGGACGAAGCGCAAGUGACGGUACCUGGAGAAGAAGCACCGGCUAACUACGUG